GAUUAGUUAGCACCAAGCCUGAACUCUUCUUCAAUGCAAUAAGAGUUAAUUAAAGUUUACCACCAAACAUCAACCAAAGCAGGAUGUUGAUCAGGUUUCAGCAUUAAGUGCAAACAGACAAUAGUUGGCAGCAAUUAGUGCAGCUAUCAAAUGACAUGCAAUGAUAAUUAUACAUUUAAAACAGCUAAAGAGCUGGGGGAAAAAACUAAUCAGCUUCUUUGACGACAAAUACUCAAAGGGCAGGAAACAGGUAUCAGAUUAUUUCACUUUAACACUGUAAAUCAAUAGAAUUAAACAAGAAAAGGUUGUAUGGGUACAUUAUCUGAAAGAGAACAGUUCACUGGAUUCAAAAUGAAAUAAAUCUGCUGUAUUGGUCUAUCAAAGAUAAGAACUUCUGUAACUAAAGAAAAUAAGUUACUUUUCAAUUAAAGUUUCAGAAUGAAGUUUGUGUAAAGAAAGUUUAGCUUCCUAGUCUUGUGUAAAUUCAACAAUGCAACAAGUAUUUCACUAUCAUUACUGUUAUUUAAAUUAAGUAUUAACUUCCACUCUAAAAUACUAUCAAAAGUACUUUAUGUCUGAACCUUACCUUUCUGUACUCAAAUAUUAUCUCCCCCAAAAGGCUUUUAGAUGUUAGAUCUAAAUUAUUUCUUAAUGCAACCGAAUUCAAACAAACGCCAUAUAUACAUAUUUAGUGCAUGUUACUGCAGGUCUUCCCUUGAUGCCAUUCAAAUCUAUGCCUUCAACCUUGCUGAAAUCAAUGAGCCUGCAUAUACCACAUCCCUUAAAACAAUUUUUAAUAAGUCACCUCAUUCUUUUCCAUAGUUUCUGGCCUGCAUCCUAGAGCACAACUCUAGAAAUGUACCCAUCCUCAUGACCCCACCUCUCCACCUUCCCAACUAAUUCUGUUAUGCUAAGGAUUUGUACACAGUGCUGGCUAAUCCCAAUAUUUCCCUGGAGCUAAAUCUAAGCCAUGGCUAACUCCCAGCACAAAAAUGUCUCUCUCCAAAAGCCCUUUCGCCCCCUUCAGCACUCAUACACUCAUUGGUCCUGACAUUUUCACUUCAGCCAUGACAAAUGAGCUGAUGACUCUGAUGUGAUUGCAUGGGAGGAUGGCUUUAUCUAAAGAUAUAUCAUUAACUCUCAUCACCAUCUCCUAAUAUGGCUCUUCUGGGUUAAUGUGUUGUGAAAAUCUGAGGAAAUUUUUGUGUAAAUAUCUGCACUUUAAGUAGUAAGAGACCAACUUCAUCAAAAGGAAAAAAAGAGAAGCCAAAGUGGACAGGAAUGGGGGGGGGGGGCGGCUGGUGAAGACUAGCAUUAACUAAAUGUUGCUCUGGGGAUUUAAGUAACUCUACUCAACCUCUGCCCCAGUACAAACCAGCCAGCUGACUGUCUCUUAAAGGUCCCUUCUCUUCGACAUGGGUGGCUGGAACAUAGUGUAAUUUGUGAAGUGGCACAAAUAAAGAGUCUCAGAUAAAUAUGGCUAAUCAAUCGGCAAGCCCAUUUUUUUUGUUGUUGUUGUUUUUAUCUCAGUGUAGUAGUACAUAUUUUAUUCCUGAACCCUUAAUUUCCUAUAUUAUUAAGUCUCUCUAAAUUCAUUUUAAUGGAGAAAGGGAUUGUCAAAACCCACUUUACUUCCAGAUCAUUGUUAUUCUUCAAUUAGAAGGAAGCAGUAUUUUUCCAACCAUUAUUAAAUGUAAAACUUUUCAAGCUUCAAAGGAGAAGGGAAAAGGAAGCUUUUCCAUUUAGCAUAAAUAUCACAACGUUUAGGUUAAGUUAGAACCCAAGUUCCAGUUAUGUAGUUCUUGUUAUGUAUACUAUGGAGUUUACAGAGUAGAUACUUGUUAUAACCUCUUCUCUCAUUUCAUCUGCGAACACACAGCCAAUCAGAGUCAACUGUAGCAUAACAGACCUCAGGAAAGGAGGUCAGGCUUUGAGGUAUUUCAUUGAGCACCAAAGAUUUGCCAAUUAUAUCUGUCACAAUACAGUGAUUAAACAGAUAUGGUUGCUGCCCUCAUGGAGGCUGAAAUUUAUUUGAAGAAACACUUAAACAAGCAUCAUGAAAAAUGCUAAGAUGCUAAUUGUUUUUCUGCUGGUAAAAUAUACCAUUAUCCUAUCUGUAUUCAAUAAAUGUUUAGCUCUA